rnacentral:lncRNA from 1 species
GGUGGAUUUGGGGUGGACAAUGGCAUAUUUAUUUCUAUGUUGCUUCCUUUGAGGCAAGUUAGCCUUCUCUUCAGAUGGAAAAUUAAAAAAAAAAUAGAAUCCAUCAUCCAUUUUUGGAAAGUCUCUGACCUGUAUUGUAUCACAAAUAAUGGGUUCACCAAUGAAGAACAUGUUCAAAGGUUUCAAGAUGCAGCCUCCUUCUUUAUGCAUCUUCCUCCACUUAAUCUCUAUUCCACCUCUGGGCCAUCACUUUGAAAUAUACAGUAUCUAGCAAAAAGGCCUCAAGAGAAGAUAUGAUUCCUCAACAUAUUUUAUGGGUGAAUCUACAGGAGGAAGAAAUAAAAUUUUUUAAAAGCCCAAGAUUUAAUGAAAAUGGGAACAAAUCAUAGUGGAAUGCAGUUUCAGGUAUGAGCUACAAGCACAUUAAGGGACAUUGAAGUUGAGUGUGCUUUAUAUUCCUAAUGUCUUGAGCACACUGUGAUUUAAAAUAGCUAUUAAAGAUUAUGCAAAAUGUGCAAAAUUAAUGUGCAAUGAUUUUACUUUUGGUGAGUCUCCUUCUUCAUUUUACCGUCCUCUGCCUUCUCACCUUAAUUUCCCUAUUCUGUCAGUUAGCUUGAGUUCAGACAACUUAUUUGACCUUAUAAUGGUCAAGUUUAACUUGCUAAUAGGAACUGAAUGGUA